AUGUUUCUAUACUAUUUGUAAAAGAAAACACCUUAAGGACUUUCAAAUCAAUUUAAAAUGGUGUAUUGUUCUAUAAUAAUGACUUUUUUGACAAAUUUGCUUCAAAGCUGUGUAAACAUUUUUUUUUCACAUUGCAUCGUUGAUUUGCUUUUCAUAAACCUGUGUACACUUCUGUAGUAAAAAUCUCUAAAUUGUGCUCAGAUAGGCCCAACAGAUUAUUGAUGUUGGUAUGUGUGAAGGCUUGUGUUGCUACAGAAAACCAAAUUAGAGACCUGCUCUUUUCAUUUGUUUUCAAAGUUACUGCAUUGAUGCUGAGUUUAGCUUAUAUUUUAGGGUAACUGCAAAAGUAGACAAUUGGGGUAUCUCACAUUGUGUAUAUUGGGGCCAUUUAAGUAUUAAACAGUACUGUAAUUACACUGUGCAGCAUUUUUCUUUGACAAAUCUUUCC